rnacentral:lncRNA from 1 species
UAUCACACCCCUGAAAAAAUUGCAAAUUUCAGUUUGUGUGAAUUUACUUUAUUGUCCAUGACUUUGUUUUAUGGUAGAGGAUAAAAUUAUCUUUUUACCCACAUUUGAUUGACAAAAAAGAUUUUAUUAAUGUAGCUUUAGAUAAUGAUUUCUAUGUUAUUUUUGUGUUAAUUUUGCUUUUGACUUUCUGUCUCUAUACUUUUUUUGUAUGGAAAUUUUUUAUUUGGGCUUACAAAAUUAAGUUUUUGUAGAAUAUACAGAUAUAUAAAGCUACUUAUAUCAUAUUCAAUUGCAUAAAAAUCAAAAUGUAAAUAAAUAUGUAUAAAUAACUCAAUGCCUAAUUUGGGCUUCACUCUCAAGUCUCAACCCACACAACACAAUAACCGGCCCAAAUUCACAAUUAUGGACUUCCCUUAACUUUUUGUUCUAAUGGGUUUUAUUAAAUAUUAAAAAGAAAAUUUUCGUAUGAAAGUGUUCUUAGUAUGACUAAAAGCACUUUUGGUGAACCUAAUUUUGGAUUUUAAAAGAAUUUAAAGUGCUUUUUAAAAGAAGCAUCAGAUAUGUGCUUUUUAAAAGAAGCACAUUCUUGCAGGAAGCAUUAGAUAUGUGCUUUUUAUAAGAAACACUUAAAUUGUUUUUUUUAUCCAAAUUUUUACUAAGUAAUGAUUUCAAAAAUAUUUUCAUCAGUUAUUUUAAAAUGCUCCCAAGUCCUUACCGUUUCAGUUUUGACAAUUUGAAAGGUUAAAAUACAUCACGAUGUUAUAGACAAUGAAUUGGUGGACACAAGUGCUUUCACUAAAAGAAAUAUAUAGAAGUAACACUUUAAUUAACUAGAUUUGAUGAAACAUAGCAUUAGUAAGACAGACAAGUAAACUCCAAACAGAAUAAACAACAGUUGACAUUUGAAAAACCUACGACAAAUAUGAGGCAGUCACCAGUACUGCAGUGCGCGCGUGAGCGCACCACACAUACACACACACACACACACAUAUAUAUAUAUAUAUCAUUACAUGAGAGUUUCUUCACAUCACUCGAUACUAUUGGUGCAUGCUUGAUCAUCAAUGGUGCUAGUACUGUCUCGGCAUGAUUCUACCAUAGGAUUAAUGGCGGUUUCCGAAAUUGAAUUGUUUGGGGUUUUAGGGUACUUAAAAUCAUGAGGUUUGUAAUAUUUAUUGAAGUGAAGAUUGCAGAGAACUACAAGGAGGAAGGCGACAACAUAGAUAGAAUAGGCAACACAUUUAAACCACAAAGGAAAUGGGACAAUGAUGGAUAUAAAGAAGGCUGUGACUCCAAAGAAGAUGCCAAAAUGAUGGAAAAUCUGGGCGAUUGAUAUUCCGGCAAGACAGUAGCUGAAGUGAAUAAACUUGCUUACCAAGAUACAAGUGAAAGCAAGUAAGAUUGAUAGUCCAAGAAAGUAAAAGAUUAUAGGGAGAGGAAGCUUGCCGGAGGGAAAUUGGAAGGGGAGGAGCGCUAGUCCAAACGCCGCUGUCAAGCAAAACACGACGAUGAUUUGUGGCCAAUCAAAGUUGUUGGUGGGGUACUUAUAGUUAGUCCUCCCAUCUGGAACUUGUUGCAUUGCGGCUUCUAGGUCUUGUUCGCAAUUGUAAGCAGUAUUAACAAAACAAAUCAUUUUAUUCUGUACAAAGGUAGAUAGAGAUGGAGAUAUAUAGGGAGGGAGAGCGAGUUAAUAAGGAGAAUGAUUUGAGAUAUGUUGAUUUAUAUAUAAGGAGGGAAGAAUGGAAGGCAUGGAAAAAUACGUGCCCGGUGGCAAUAAGGGAACUUCCUGGUAAUUUAAUAUGAAAAUUAGACCAGAAGGAAACCUAGAAUUAAUCCCAUUAAUCUAUUACAACUAGCAACAUUAGCUUACAAAUGUGAUGGCCAGUUAUUGAUAUAGGAGAAUGAUUUAUGCACACCAUUUUUCACUUCAUACAUACUUUUCUUUCUAUUUAUCCAUUGGAUUGUAUAAAUAAAAGAUGAUCAAACGAAGCAUAAAGAGAUAAAGUAAAAAAGAUAAAAAAGGGUGUGCAUAAAUCAGUCCUUGUUAGUAUGUCAUGUGAAGGCUCACAACUGUGACGAGUGAUGACCUCAUGUUGUUAUUCAGGGAUUUGGAUCCUCUCGUGAGCUUAAGGAGAGGAUCUUCCUGACCAAUGAGUGUGGGUCAUUGAAUGAAAAUCCAACAACUAUAAUUAUUAUAAUUUUAAAGGAAUUCCCUAUUUGUAACAGUUGAAUUUUCAUCAAACGAUCCACACUCCUUAAUUAGGAGGAUUCCCUCCUUGGGCCAAGAGAGGAUCCAAAUCCGUUAUUCAGAGGGCAAUCUUGUUUGUAUUCAGGGACAGUUUUAUAAGAAUUGAAAAAUACCCAAAUUAAAUUGCGAGUUCUUUACUGUCUCUUUCUUUUUACUCAUUAUUAAUAAGAAAACAUUUUUUUUUCUUGGUUUUGUGGCCCGUUGAACUUUACGAAUAUUUUUACUUAAUUACACAAUCAAAUGAUCAGUGACUCGUGGUCGUAUAUUCAUAUAGGGUUUAGCGUCAAAGGGCAAUCGUUGGUGACAAUUUUUGGUGACGACCUCAUGUUGCCGUUCAAAGGACUGUUAUCUUAAGUGUCGUAAUAGAAUAUAUAGAGAUCAAAUAUUCCAGAGAUAGUUGAUGAUGGUUAUAUUUAUACGUAGUAGGGGGGAAGAAUGAAAGAGAAACAGCAGGACUCAGCUAUCAGACUAAGUGCGGCGAGGUCCGUACAUUUUUCCACGGGAGGAACUUCCUGGUAAUUUAAUAUGGAGGGGAAGGAAACCAAAUGGAAACCAUUGAAAACCGGCGGAAGGUAGCUCAACUUACCUUAAACAAACUGAGGUUUCCUGGGACAAUAUUAUAAGAAUUGAACGGGACAAAGUUGAAUUGUGAAUGGGGAGAAUAUUUCCACCUGUUUUUUAUUUUGUUUUUUAUUUUUUGGGUUUGAGAACUUCCAUCUAUAGUUUAGGAGGACAAGAGCAAUGACGUUUAAGUUGGCUUUAUUAUUCACUCUAAAUAGUAUUUGUUUUCCUACAACUUCACCCGUUGGGUAAGCGCAAUUCCUAUUCACGUAUUUUUUUAUACUCAGGGAUGUGCCUUGAAUCUGCUCAAUAAAUUGGGCAAACUUCUUCCACGUUUGGAGCACCGCCAUCUCAUUUUUUGUGACCGAGUCAUGAGUAACACGCACCCAACACUCAAGCAAAGCAAUAUUUUCCAAUUUGGCUUCUCACUCAUUUUUUGUUGGUAAAAAAAAUUGAAAACUGGAAAGUAAAUAUAGUGUUGCACGACAUUUAUGUUCGUCCACUAAUUUAGUGUAACUAUUGAAACCGUUAAGCCAUCGAUUCUUAAAAUGAAUAGGUCAUUCAUUCCUCAAUUGAUUAGACAGUUGAUUCUUCGUAUUAAAUUAGGAGUAGUUGUGUAAUUUGUCAGGAUAGCUGCCUCACCACUAUAGAAAGGUGGUUCCGACGCCCAAAACUGCUCUCGGAACAUCUGGCUAAGAAAAAUCUAAGCGAAUACUGCUUUGUCCACAAAAGCAUUGGCCACGCCACCAGAGGUUGUUGAGUUCUAAAGGAUCACAUCAAAGAACUGCUGGACCCAGGGCACUUCUGGGAAUUUGUCAAGGAUAAGGCAAAGAAGGAAAGUUCAGCCAAACCCAAAGAGAAAGAUCGAUCGGACAAGCAUACUGGUAACGAAGAUCGACGACCAGCAAAAAACCAACAUUUAACUUUGCACAAAUGCAAGUUUACAAAAGUUCAAAAUUACACUGUCAUAGGAGCAUCCUUUAGCCCAAUCCGUCUAGAACGGUUAGCAGCUUAGUAGAUUUGAACUGUAAUAAGCGCGGUAACAAUUGGCAGGCUACGGGCACAUGGCACCUUGACCCAAAAGUCUAAUGCACCAUUUAGCCUUUAGAAAGUUUAUACAACCAACAAGGUUGUGGGUUUGACAUUCAAACUUGGGCUUUACGCUAUUCAAAGGAAUAGUCGAAAGGGCGAUUCGAAACUCAUAUGAGGGUGGCUUUGAACUCUGACCCUUAGUACGACUACUUAUAUCCCAAACAAACUUACUAAGUCAAGUAAGUUUUGCAACACCAAGUGUUAGCAAGUGCGAAUGGGGCAUCCAUACUAGGUAAUCCUUAGGAGGAAUUUUAUUACAACGGAGCUCCGAUACGCGAAAAUGCUUUGGUUAAGCCAACCAAGGUAGUCCAAUCGGAAAUACUUAAGUCCAACGCAUAUGGUCUGAUAAAAGGAUUCAAAAAAUGUUUCCAACCCAUAGGCAAACGACUACGUCUUCAAAGAACUUUCAUUUAAGAUUCGCUAGAGACAGACACGCAACAUGAGUUGAAGACCAUACGCUCCUCAAACAUCAUGUUGCAAAAGAUUUGAAGAACCCCCAUAAAGGGAAUGAGAUGGACAAAUAAAUGGGAUGGCAUUCCCAAUAAACAAAAUACCGUCAUCUCUGAUCUAGCGAAAAAUGCAGGGGCAAGGGAAUGGGUUCUCCAUGGAUUCUCUAUGGGUUCAAUACCUGGUAUCAGAGGAAGGUGGUACUUCGGAUAUCACGAUGGGUACCCUAUAAACACCGAGUUUGGGAGAUAAACUUUUUUCGAAUGAACAUCAUCAUGGGGGAUGUUGUGCUAUAUCCCGAGCCCAUAAACUCAUCCAUGUUCCACCUUGUUUCUUAUCAUUCCAAAGUUAGCUCACUCUGGAAAAUUAGUUUAAUUAGAGACACGUAUAUCAGGCGAAACCUGAAAUGGUAGAAACAACAAUAGAGACAUACGCUAAACAGGGGAAAAGACUUUCAAAUAAAGUUAAAGGAAUUCAAAACCCAGACAUAGGCAAGAUGUUCGAUAAUUGGCCCCCAUUCUGGCCUAGCAAAGCAUGAAGAAAACAACUCUCCGCACCAUCGGAAUUCGCUAUAUUCUCAGGAUUGACUGGAGGGAAUUGACGGUAGGAAUGUCAAUGGUAGUAGUACUGUUAUCUUUCAUCAACCCUUCAAACUUGGAAAAAAAACUCACUUUGCUCCGAUAAGGCAAGCAUCGACGCAUCAACCACAAGCGAAGAAGGCACCGGUAAACCAGCAUCCCGUAUCUCCUUCAAAAAGCGAGCAAUGCCUUACUCGUCACGGUGAUCCUGACCCGUGUAGCUAUCAAGGUAACUCUAGUUGUAUUCUUGCGUGAUGUCCUCUUGAUUUGUCGUUGAAACUCCGUGACAUUUUCCUUAUUCUACUGAGAAGACUCUGCUUAGAUUUUUUCAGCCUAACACAAUUCAUCUCAGGCUGCGUCUAAGUUCAAUUGGAGAAUAGACCUGUCAGAAUCCCAUGAACUCCGCUCCAAAGCCAACAACCUUUUUACCUUUUCCAAACACAUUUUCAAGGCUUCCUCCUCAGCAUUUUAAGUCUACUCCAUGUCCAGUAGCGCCUUAUGCCUAACAUUCAUGUCCUACAGAUCCCACUCAACUUUGAUCCUGCCACUCAAUUCACUCUUAUAAGCAACCUCAAGUUUGGAAUUCUCGUCUGCUUGGGCCCAAAUCAAAGCAUCAAUCCAGGUGUUUACCUGAAGAAAGGUACACAAGGGUAAUGAUAAGAAAAAAGAAAUACAAAAACAACUAGCAAUAUGGAAAAUUGAGAAUGCUAACCGCAUAUCUAUUUUGGUAGCACUUCUUCCUACGGUCAUCUGCAAUCAUAAUUCCCCUGGAAUCAGCAUAAGCAAUAGCCGAACAAAUCAAAGCUUGAGCAUGUCUUGCGUUACGGAGACCACUUGCAUCUAGGGGAGUGGUUCUAACCCAACAGCAAGCCGAAUCACUAAACAGGGCACCAAGAUAGAUACUAUUUCAUUAAUACCAAGAAGAAUAUGUAACUCUCAUUAGGCGCCUGGUUGUUUGGAUCAUCAACUAGAACUUGACUACCAGAAGGGGCAGCCGUAAAACUAGAAGACGAAAGUGCAGAUGGUUGCGAUUGCUUCCUUAAUAACCCUUGCUCCAACGCCGACACCUUCACAAUGAUGACUUGCCUUUUUCUCCGCUAGUGUCUGGUGAGGGCUUGCUGUAAAUUUUCUUUGGUCGAACAAACAAGGUCAACAAUCUCCGGAGCUUUAUCUAGAUAGGCUCCGGAAGCGCUUGCCAACCUGGUCUUCUUCUUAGAUGCUUUGGCUAGAAUCGUUAUCAUAGCCACCUUCUCAGUUUCUCAUUUCCUUUUUUUCUUCUCCGCCCCAGGGCACCCUUAUAAUGUUUUGGAUGCUUCAAUGGAUCUUGGGUUGCAACCCACAAGGGGUUAGGGAUAUGAUGGUUAAAGCAAAGGUCGAUGAUGUCGUCUCUCCUAUGUGUUCUCUCUCUCUCUUUCUCUCCAGUGCACUAUGUUGGAUAGUGGCCAACUUGCAAAUGCUUUCGGCUACACAAAAAUCUAAACAACUUUUGGCUAUAAAAAAAUUAUAAAGAAAGAAGGUGGACAACACCUUUCCUUGUUUUGGGGAGGAAAAUAGGGAAAAGGUUUUUUGUUCUCUUCAACACCCGUGGGUGUUGGUUCAAUAUGGGGACAAGUUGCCUUUGAAGCAAAUAGAAAAGAAUGAGAGCUCAUUUCGGUUUGAUAAAAACAAGAGAGAACCAAGAGCUCUUUUUGUAGAGAGCAAGGGAGAGUUGCAGUGAGUCCAAACAGAAGAAGAAGCUGCUGCUUCAUUUGAUUAGUAAUCAUCAACCAAAGUAAUUGUUGUAGUAAUAGCCUUGAGCUAUAUGUAUAGAGAAGAAAUUAUUCAUUAUAUUUCUUUCUCUAUUUUGUUUCUUUGGUGUGUGAGAGCUAUUGGGUGUAUUGGGCUUUUGGGUUGUGAGAUUGCCAACACUUUGUAAACUCCCAUUUGGUUGAUAGUGGAUUAUUGGGUGAGCUCCUACUGCUCCGAGGACGUACUCCAGUUACACUGACUGUGGAGGAACCUCGUUAAAAUCUUGGUGUCUUUUCUAUAUUGUUCUUGCAUUUUCAUUUGAUAAAUUUCCUGUGGGUUAGACUGAGUUGGUUCCAUAAGGUUUGGUGCUAUCCUAGCACAACAAUUGGUAUCAGAGCACUAGUUGCUCUUGGGUACUGUCUAGUUGCCAAAGAUGUCAGACGGGCAAGAUGAAAAUCCUUUUGGAAGCAGCUCCGGGUUUGCAAGAACGACGGUGCAAAAUGCAAAGUUCGAAGUGGAAAAGUUUGAUGGCACAAACAACUUCGGGAUGUGGCAAUGUGAGGUCAAAGAUGUGUUGGCUCAACAAGAUCUACUUGCUGCGUUGGGAGAGAAGCCGGAAACUAUGUCUAAGCCGGAAUGGGAAAAAUUAAAUUUGUGGGCUUGCUCUUCAAUUCGGUUAUGCCUUGCAAAAACUCAGAAGUAUUUUGUGAUGCGGGAGACAUUAGCAAGUGUGUUGUGGCAAAAAUUGGAAGACAAGUAUAUGACGAAGAGUGCAGAGAACCGGCUACACUUGAAGAAAAAGCUCUACCGCUUCCAAUACAAAGAAGGUACAAAAAUGAUUAGACACCUUGAUGCUUUUAAUAAGUUGAUUGCCGACUUGUUAAAUUUAGAUGAGGAUAUUAAGGAUGAAGAUAAGGCCUUAAUAUUGUUGAAUUCCUUGCCGGACUCUUAUGAGCAUUUUGUUACCACUAUUAUGCAUGGUAAAGAAACUGUGAAAUUUGAAGAUGUGUCAAAUGCCUUGAUGAAUUAUGAAAUGAGGCAUAGAGAUAAAAAUCAUGAUAGUACCUCUGAAGCUUUAUUUGUUAGAGGUAGAUCAUCGGAGAGGAGGUCAUCUUCUAGCAGAAAAAAAUCACAGUCUCGACCUAGAGGAAACUCUAAAGGUAGAAAAACUUUGGAAAGAGAUGAAUGUGCCUUUUGUCAUAAUAAGGGCCAUUGGAAGAAAGAUUGUCCUAAAUUGAAGACCAAAGGCAAAGAAAGUUCUGAAGCUAAUGUUGCUGAGGUUGAAACAGAUUUUUCUGAUUUUGCUUUAACCACUUCCUCAUCAUUUGAUUGUGCUACUAAGUGGGUGUUGGAUACGGGUUGUACUCAUCAUAUGACUCCUCACAAGGAUUGGUUUUCAAGCUUGAAAGAGUUUGAUGGCGGUGUUGUGUUCAUGGGAGAUGACAAUCCUUGCACAACAAAAGGGAUUGGUACAGUUCGUUUGAAGUUGCAUGAUGGCAUGGUUAAAGAGUUGACAGGUGUUCGGUAUGUACCGAAUUUGAAGAAAAAUCUUAUUUCUUUAGGAACUUUGGAAGCCAAGGGCUUCAGGUUUCAUUCAGAUGGGCAGACAUUGAAGGUGACUUAUGGUGCACUUGUUGUGAUGAAAGCUCCUCGAUGUGGCCAUUUGUACUUAUUGCAAGGAAGCACUAUGACAGGUGAAGCAUCUGUAGUCUCAGAAAAUAUGGGCACAUCCGAUUCUGAUACUACUAGAUUGUGGCAUAUGAGAUUAGGCCAUGCCGGUGAGAAAGCUCUACAAGGGCUUGUGAAAAAAGGUCUUCUAAAAGGUGCCACGACUUGUAAGCUUGAUUUCUGCGAGCAUUGUGUCUUGGGGAAGCAAACUAGAGUGAAGUUUGGUACUGCCGUACAUCAGACGAAGGGCAUUCUUGAUUAUGUGCAUUCGGAUGUUUGAGGUCCUACAAAGACUCCCUCUUUGAGUGGUAGACAUUGGUUCGUGACCUUUGUUGAUGAUUAUUCAAGAAGGUCUUGGGUCUACACUAUGAAGCACAAGAGUGAGGUGUUAAGCAUUUUCUUGGGUUGGAAGAAAAUGGUUGAGAACCAGACUGGGAGAAAGAUUAAGAUUUUGAGAUCGGAUAAUGGUGGUGAAUACACAUCCGAUCCUUUCUUUAAAGUUUGCAAAGAGGAAGGAAUUGUGAGACAUUUCAGUGUUCGGGGAACUCCACAACAAAAUGGAGUUGCAGAAAGAUUGAAUCGAACCUUGCUUGAGAAGGUUAGAUGUAUGUUGUCUCAGUCGGGUUUAAGCAAGUCAUUUUGGGCAGAAGCAGUUAAUUAUGCAUGUCACAUCAUCAACCGGUUACCCUCAGCUGCUGUUCAGGGUAAGACACCAAUGGAGGUAUGGAUUGGAAAACCUUCUUCUGAUUAUGACUAUAUCCGUAUUUUUGGUUCACCUGCUUAUUUUCAUGUGACUGAAAAUAAACUUGAUCCUAGAGCCAAAAAGGCUAUUUUUCUUGGUUUUAGUAGUGGUGUCAAAGGUUACAGGUUGUGGUGUCCAGAGAUGAAGAAACUGGUAAUUAGCAGAGAUGUGACAUUUGAUGAAGAAAGUAUGUACAAAGUCUCUGAGAAGAAUGUGAAAGAUGUCCAACAGGUGGAGCUUGAGAAAGUUGCCUCUGAUACUUCAAAUCCUAUUUCCGCUGAUGUCGAUGCCACUACAAGUGAAGAAGUUGGAGACCAUGAGGAUGUUGAAGAAGUUGAACUUGAAGAUUCUAUUCAAGUUGAAGAGCAAGUUUCACCUCAAGAGUCUAUUGCCAAGAACAGAGGAAAGAGAUAAAUUACCAAGCCAGCUCGGUAUAGUGAUUAUGUUGCUUUUGCUCUUCCUAUUAUCACUGAAGAGAUUCCAUCCAAUUUUGAGGAAGCUAUUGAGAGUGAGGAGAAGAAUAGGUGGUGCAAUGCCAUGGGUGAUGAGAUGAAUUCUCUCUUGAAGAACAAGACUUGGGAGUUAGCUAAAUUGCCUAAGGGCAAGAAAGCUAUUGGUUGCAAAUGGGUGUAUGCCAAGAAGGAAGAUGCUGAUGAGAAAAGCAAUGUGAGAUUUAAAGCAAGAUUAGUUGCUAAAGGGUAUGCACAAAAGGAGGGCAUUGACUACAAUGAAAUAUUUUCUCCAGUUGUGAAACACUCCUCAAUUCGUAUUAUGUUAGCUCUUGUUGCACAAUAUGAUCUUGAGCUUGUGCAACUCGAUGUGAAGACGGCUUUCCUACAUGGUGAUUUGAAUGAAGAGAUCUAUAUGUGUCAACCGGAUGGGUAUAUAGUGAAAGGGAAGGAAAAUUUGUUUUGCAAAUUGAAGAAAUCACUUUAUGGCUUGAAGCAAUCUCCAAGGCAAUGGUAUUUGAGGUUUGAUAAAUUUAUGAGAGGCCAAAAUUAUUCUAGAAGUCAAUAUGAUCAUUGUGUGUACUUCAAGAAGUUGCAAGAUGGGUCUUUCAUUUAUUUAUUGAUAUAUGUUGAUGAUAUGUUGAUUGCCUCAAAGAAUGUUGAAGAGAUUGAGAAAUUGAAGAAACAAAUGAAGAACGAGUUCGAGAUGAAGGAUCUUGGUGAAGCGAAGAAGAUCCUUGGCAUGGAGAUCACUAGAGAUAGAGCAAAGGGUUUUGUCAGUUUGAAUCAAAGACAAUACCUUGAGAAGUUGAUUCGGAAGUUUGGAGUUCAUGAUUCAACCAAACCAGUUAGUACCCCUUUGGCUCCUCAUUUUAAAUUGAGUUCUCUACAGUGUCCUAAAAAUGAUAAAGAGAAGCUGCAAAUGAAAAAUAUACCAUAUGCAAAUUUGGUUGGUAGUUUGAUGUAUGCAAUGGUAUGUUCUAGACCGGAUAUUGCUCAUGCAGUUGGCAUGGUGAGUCGAUAUAUGCAUAAUCCAGGUAAAGAGCAUUGGCAAGCAGCUAAGUGGAUAUUGAGGUAUCUCCAUGGUACUCGAGAUGUUGGUUUAUGCUUUGAGAGAGAUGACUCUGGUAUUGGUCAUUUUGCAGUUGGUUAUGUUGAUUCAGAUUAUGCAGGUGAUCUGGAUGGAAGGAAGUCUACUACAGGCUAUGUGUUUACUAUGGCUAAAGGGCCAGUUUGUUGGAGGUCCAUUUUGCAGUCGUUUGUUGCCUUGUCUACUACAGAGGCUGAAUAUAUGGCAGUUGCUGAAGCUAUAAAGGAGGCCAUUUGGAUACAUGGGCUGAUUAGAGAUUUGGGGGUUGAUCAGAAGCAGGUGGAGGUACAUUGUGAUAGUCAGAGUGCCAUUUAUUUGGCUAAGUAUCAGGUUCAUCAUGCGAGGACCAAGCACAUAGAUGUGCGUUAUCACUUUGUUCGUGAAAUUGUUGGUGAAGGGGAAAUCAUUCUCCAGAAGAUUCCAACGAAAGACAACCCCGCUGAUAUGUUGACUAAGGUUGUUGGUGUAGCCAAGUUUGUUCACUGUUGAACUUGGCUCACAUUAUGCCUAUAUAAAGAAGGUGUUGAGCAGUAGGAGUUUUGGAGCAAUUGGCUCGGCAUGAGUUGUUCUCUUGCUAGUGUUUAGGAGUGAUGUUGUGUAUCAAUUGUGUUGGUUGGCUUGUCAUGGCGUUUUUCGGAAUUUGGCCAAGGUGGAGAUUGUUGGAUAGUGGCCAACUUGCAAAUGCUUUCGGCUACACAAAAAUCUAAACAACUUUUGGCUAUAAAAAAAUUAUAAAGAAAGAAGGUGGACAACACCUUUCCUUGUUUUGGGGAGGAAAAUAGGGAAAAGGUUUUUUGUUCUCUUCAACACCCGUGGGUGUUGGUUCAAUAUGGGGACAAGUUGCCUUUGAAGCAAAUAGAAAAGAAUGAGAGCUCAUUUCGGUUUGAUAAAAACAAGAGAGAACCAAGAGCUCUUUUUGUAGAGAGCAAGGGAGAGUUGCAGUGAGUCCAAACAGAAGAAGAAGCUGCUGCUUCAUUUGAUUAGUAAUCAUCAACCAAAGUAAUUGUUGUAGUAAUAGCCUUGAGCUAUAUGUAUAGAGAAGAAAUUAUUCAUUAUAUUUCUUUCUCUAUUUGUUUCUUUGGUGUGUGAGAGCUAUUGGGUGUAUUGGGCUUUUGGGUUGUGAGAUUGCCAACACUAAACUCCCAUUUGGUUGAUAGUGGAUUAUUGGGUGAGCUCCUACUGCUCCGAGGACGUACUCCAGUUACACUGACUGUGGAGGAACCUCGUUAAAAUCUUGGUGUCUUUUCUAUAUUGUUCUUGCAUUUUCAUUUGAUAAAUUUCCUGUGGGUUAGACUGAGUUGGUUCCAUAAGGUUUGGUGCUAUCCUAGCACAACACACUAAGCCAUUUCCAACUCCAAGGCUCUGUAAGAAUGAUCUUGAAGGCCCUAUAAAUGAGUUUAGGGCGACUCUGACUGAGAUUUUGAUCAUCUAUUAUGAAAUUGAUGUUCUUUCCAGACUUACAGAGAACUGUCGAUUCGGAUAUAUGACCCUCAUAGUUUUCCUCUACUAGGAGAAUGUUCUUGUGCUAAUCCUUGUCCUAACCAGGUGAUUAAUGAUAUAAGCGGGCCACCGGAGUGUAGAGCGAGAUUGAAAGAAGUAGCGAGUUUUAGCGUUUCUCCAGAAUGAGUAGUGAACACAAAAUUUAGAUAAACCCAGUCCAGCGUGAUACCACUCGUUCAGACGUUUGAAGCAUGAGAUAAUAUGGAUGGAAGAAGGAAUAAGAUUGCAUAGACCAAUUUGGAAAUAUGUGAGAAUCUCCUUCCAUAACAGCAACAAGGGGAAUCUCAACCCCAUAUCGAGGGGAAGUUUUCAGUCACAUCAUCGGUAUCUUUCCACCAUACACGACACCCGUUGAGAAAUGGUUGUGGCACGCAAGAAAAGCUUCUUCCUUACCUUUGUUGCGAACCCUGACCAUAGGGGGUUCGGGGUUAUCUAAAAUGGCGGGUUGAGCAAGUUAGGCAAAUGAACUGGCUGCCGUGAUUUCGUUUGAAAACAAAAGGGCUAACAACGAAUAAUGUGAGUUGAAAAGCUAUUUGAAUGUGAUUUGGGAAUUUAGAAAGAAAGUGAAGGUAGUGGUACAACAAAUAUUUAAAGAUGAUAUUUCAAAUCAUCCUACCAUUGAAUAUAGAACGGUUCAUAUUGAGAUUAGCAUACCCGACCGUCAUGUUUUUAGGGGUACAAUAUAGAAGAAGAUUUCUCGUUUUUUCAUGCGCAUGCAACAAACGCAAUGUAUCAUCAUAAUGGAGUCUAAAGCACAUAGUUCAAGGCGACCCAUUUAGGAUUGAAAACGCCGCCGCUUCAUAGAUAGAAGUCACAUCAUUUACAAUAGCUUGAAAACCGUACGUAUUCCGUCUUACUCUGAAAGACAUGAUCUGAAUACAGUUACCUCUGAAGUCUGGACAUAGACUCACUAGCUCUGAGUGGAGCUAUAUCAGACGGGGACACAAUUAGGUUCUAUAAGUCUUCGAGUCCUUACAAUCUAGGGAUAAGCGUGUGCCGUAAAUAAUAACAACUCCUAAAAAGAUGCAAUAUCUACUUACUAGAUAUCCUCUAGGAUUCUUCUAGCUUAGAACGAUGAUUCUAUCUUAAAAAGGUCUUUCUUCCAUGGUAUAAGUACACCAACCUAGGGUUCAUCUACAGUAACGCAAUCUAUACGCUUCAAUUCUUUUGCCCACUGCUUGAGUCUAAAAUCAUUUACUAACUUGACCAUCGGAGAGCCUUUCACCAACAUAACCCUUAGUCCUAGGCUUGCUCAUGGUUGUUUAUUAUUAUGUUGGUUCUCAAAUUUGUUCUCAACCACCGCUCACGGUGGUGCGCGAAUUUGGUUUUAACAUUCGAGAUACUCUGUAAAGAAGCAGGAGUGGGUUGAUGCUUGUAGUGACCAUAGAAAGGUUCAUUCCUUCAAAUCAGCAGCAACUACGUCGUCUAUUCCAAAAAAGUGGACGCACCCUGAUAGUUCUUCUUCUCAUUCAUUAGUUGUGACCCCUCAACCUCAAUUAUUGAUUAGGGACACCCAAUCUGAGAGUCUCAGAGAAGAAGAAGAAACCCCUCUUCGAAGAAAAAUGAGUGUUGUUGCUCUAGCGCCAUCAACUUUUAAUGUAUCCGCCCCUUUAUCCACAACAAAUAAGCCGCCCACUUGUCUUAUCUACCUUUACCUACUAUGUUACCCCAGUCAUCGGAAACGGAACCUCACUUUCCUUCCUUGGUCCCUUUAUAAAGUUUUCCACCUGUACUGAGCGAAGUUAUUGCGUCUUCCGUUGCCUCAAUGUUAACUUCCGCUCAUCUGUUGCAAGUGCCUAUAGAUGGUUCAUCCUAUCAUGAUAGUCUUCCAUUGAUUACCCUAACAAGGUCCAAGGGAACAACUCGUUCUCCUCUUAUGAUCUAGUCUUCAGUUGAUCAAAUUGUAUUUCCUUUUGAUUAUGAUCGGGCGCUGCUUGGAACUGUAAUUGCUCCUGCCAAUUUCAAGAGAGGUUGCACUACUCUUGAAAAUACCAUAAUGCGGUGCUACAUGAGUCGUUACGAGGUACUUGAAUUUCUUUCCUCCAUUUAUUUUUGUUAAUGUGUGUCAAUUUCCCUUAAUAGUCUUUGUAUAUUAGGUUAAUAUUUAGAGGGAGGUUGCCUUGUUCCGACAAGUAAGAUGGAUUCAUGAGCUUAAACGGACUGCGGGCCAAGAAAAUGUGGUGAGGAUAGAGGUGAAACGCCGAUUUCAAUCCCAAUUGGAAGAACUUAAAAGGGUGUAUGCCAAGUAACAAGCUUCGACUGCCGCUCGUGAGGCAAAAAUAACUCGAUACAUUGACUUGGCUAUGGUUGAAGAGGUAAGGGCCAAUGGCUACCAGGAAGGUUUUGAGAAGGUUAAAGAUGACCUAAGGCUAGACAGGCAGGCCAAAGUAGAGGUAAACUCGGCUCUCGUGCUUUGAAAUGAGAGUUUGAGCGUGUGUUAGCUUCGGAGCGGAGUACUUGGGCUAGGGACCGAGAAACUCUUUGAAAUGAGAUCGGGCAUCUUCACCAUGAGGUUGAUCAAAGAGAUAACAAACGCAUCACGGACCUUCAGCAACUUACUAACAGACAUACCUAUGAGAUGUCUACGCUAUGGGAAAAUCAUGAAAGGUUACUUGAAAUGGAGUUCGACGUCGGAUUCCUCACUGGUUAAUCCCAGCAAAACCACUUUAGGGGUUAAAGUGUCUUUAGAAUUUAUGAAGAGAUGAAGCAUAUAGAGUUCCUCAUUCCGCAUCAUUUCUUGGACGAGUUUUGGAUUUGGAGGCGAAGCAAGAAAAACAUGAUCUUAAAGGUAAUCUGGCAUCUGAUGCCUCUGGUAAAUCAUCUGCUAUAUUCAAGGGAAAAGAUGACCCAAAAGAGAAUCAAUUACCAUGAAGUAGACAUUAAACUCAUGAGAAAACUUUUGCUCAUGCACUUAUUGAACCACAUUCAUUGGAUAUAAGAUUUCUAAUCGUACUUGAUAACAUCGUACAUGCAAAAGUUGAUUUUUUAGCGCCUUGCCCUGGUUCUUAGGGCAAUGACUUCAAUACUUGCAACAUGGUGCCAGAAUGAGUUUCCCCAGGUCUGGAUUGCGUUUUCAUUUCAAGUGAAUCUUAAACAAAAGUUCUUUGAAAACAUGGUCGUCAUCAUGUGAGUCAGAAACACUUUUUGAAUCUUUUUGUUAGACCCUAUGCGUCGGACCUAAGCAUUUCCAUUCCGACUACUCUGUUGGCUUGGCCAAGGCACUUCUACGUAUCAGAGCUCUGUUGGAAUAAGAUUCCUUUUAGGAUUUACCUAGUUUGGAUACCCCAUUUCGAACCUGCUAACAUAAGAUUUCGCAUAACAUACUUAACUUAGCAUGCUCGUUCGGGAUAGAAGUAGUCGUACUCGGGGCUGGAGUUUAGAGCCACCCUCAGAUGAGUUUCGAAUCGCCUUUUCGACCAUUCCCUUGAAUGGUGUAGAGCCCAGGUUUGAAUGUCAUAACCCACAACCUUGUUAGUUGUAUAAACUUUCUGAAUGCGGGAUGGUGCAUUGGACUUCCAGGUCAAGGCACCAUGUGCAUGUGCUUGUAGCACACCAAUCAUUACAGCGCUUAUUAAGGUUUGAGUCUCCUAAGCUGGUAACCAUUCCAGACUUAUUAGGCUAAAGGAAGCUCCUCUAACAAUGUAAGUUUGAACUUUUUUAUACUUCCAUGUGAGCAAAGUUUUCAAAUUUUAGGAUAUGUUUUUUAACGAGUAGGGUGCUCCAUGCAUCACCAAAAAAUAAAGAAAAACAUGUAUGGGUGCUCUUUAUUCAUGAUCUAAGUAAAAUUGAUUGACAAUGGGGUGUGAUUGAAUCUGACAUGGAUUACCUACAUAUCUACGAAAUGGAUAAUCCAAUCACUAGUGUAGUUCUAAGGAAAAAUGAUAUGAUGUACAAGUUACACUUGGGAUCACUUUUGACGAUAAGUCUAUGGAAGGACGUUGGGAGAUAAGUUCUCCAUGAACUUGUCUCCGCGCAGGCGGCAGCGUUGCAAUUGGGUUCAGAGAUGACUGCCUAUAUAUCUCGAUGAGGGAAUUAAACUGCUUGUAGUUUGUGUGCACUUUGCUCAUUUUAACCCACUUGGAAAGGUUUACAAAGGGUUUGUUUUUCUCCGACAACGAUUCUUCGUCUUCACAUAGGUUCUUCAGUUUCUCUGUUGUUGGACAUUUUGUUGCUCAGCGCUACUCCUGAGUAGCGAGGCGAGAUUCUAUCUUUAAAGGGAACCUUUUCAAUGACAUGUAGCCAUUCCCAACAUAGGAUAGCGUUGUAAGGAGAUGAGCUAUUCAUUACAUGGAAAGUCACCAGAUGGUUUCAUUCGAACCAUGAAACAUAUCGUUCCCCUGAUGCUGAGCAAAGUUCCAUUAAAGGUUUGGACAAUAGACCUUCUUGAGUUAACUCUAUCUAGGAUAUCCAUCCUUGUAGCUGUUCCCCUAUAGAGGAUAUUGACUUCCAACCGGUUGUCAAUUAAGACUCUAACAACCAUGACAUCUAACUUUUGUAGCUUGACGACGAGAGUGCCAUUAUAUGGUGGAUAAACAAUUUAUGGCCUGAUUAAGGUAUUUUUUACCUGAGGUUUUCCUAAGGUCAUCUUCCUUCCUCUCUGUGCUUUUUUGAAAUACUUUUGUUCCUCUUAUACAAUUAAUGCUUGGAAGAAACUUUAUGUCUAUGUGUUGGGGAUGUGAUGGUCCCGAAAUUUCCUGCAGUUUUACCAGAUAUGUUGCCGGGAUGAAUUCUUGGAUCAAUUGUUCAGGGUGUGGAUAUGUUAUUCUUAGGGAAACACGAGCAACGGAACUUGCAAAUCGGGCGAAUGUGUCUUCUACAAUUUUCAUUCUUUCACUCAGCCAGGUGAGCCUCGCCCUUUCUUUGAUUUUACGUUCCUCUUGAGGUCUUUUACCGACGUGCGUAUCUUCAGUACGUCAUCUUAGACCUGAUCGAUGAAAGAGGUUCUUCUCCAUUUGAGGUGAUCUUCUUAGCAUUGUUUUCAUGAGGCAGAGUGAUCUGGUCGAGAGGAAUAUUGGUUCUCUCUUAAUGAAAGCACUAUUGUUGGGACCAAAAUCGUGCACCACCGUGAGUAGUGGUUGACUACAAACCAAGCAACUUACAAAACAAUAAACAACCGUGAGCAAGCCUAGGACUAGAGGAUGUGCCGGCCAAAGGCUCUCCGACGGUUAAAUUAGUGAAUGAUUUUGGACUCAAACGGUGGGCAAAAGAACUAAAGUGUAUAGAUUGUGUUACCGUAGAUAAACCCUAGGUGUAUUUAUACCAUAGGGAGAAAAAUCUUUUUAGGAUAGAAUCCUUAUUCUAAGUUGAGAGAAUCCUUGACACACCCCGACCGAGGUCAAGGCAUGCUGGUCGUCACGUGAGAGUGACGUAGCCAUGUGCACAGUGCGGAAGCGAUAAAGAUAGCAAAUAUACGAAUAAAUAAAAACCAUAAUACUAUAGUGCACUAUAACGAAAGUGAUAGGAGUUCAUUACAACAGUAAACACUCCUAAUCAGAGCAUACGGUCUAGGUGCAGUCCAGUAGGAUAAGUACUAGUUAUACAGUACCAUGAAAUGUCCUACGAUUUAUUUAGGUAAGUCAAACAGCCGAUGUCCUCGAGCCACCAACAAAAAACUUACUCAAAACCUGGAAGGGUGCAAAACAGAAAACGUGAGUGAGCAAAAAUAAAUGUUUUACAAAACCAUUUCAUUUAUCAACAUAACUAACCCCUCGCUGUAAAACAUGUAUAAUUUAUCCCAAAAUUAGAAUAUAAGCACAUAUGUAAAUGUAUAUAGAAGGAAUCAAAUCAAUUCAAUCAUAUUUAACAUAAUCAUAAAAUGUAUGUAUGCCAUGCCAAGAUAUAACAAAAUAACAAUUCAGGUAAGAAUAAUUUCAUAGGAAUAUGAUAUGUUAGCCGGAACCCUUGUGGUAGUCUAUACAGCUAAAUUCAUAGCUCAAUAAUCAAUCUAGCCGGAGUCACUACCAUGACGUGUACAACAUAAUACUGCACAAGAGUCGGAACCAAAAGCAAAGGUCUGUACGACAAUAGAGGGUGUAAUAAAAUCAUGCUCACUAUUACUCUCACAUAAUAGCCAGGCGAUAAUUCGUUAGUCACCUACGAGUCAGAACCAUAAAUAAGGUCUAUACGACAAGAUUGUGCACCUAAAUUGGAUCCAAUGUGAGCAUAUGGUGCAGGAGGUGACAAAAUAACAGGCCUGUAUCAUAUCUCUGGCUAAAUCAAUCACCCUAAGUGCAGUUUUAUGAGCUCGACCUUAUUCAAUCACAUAUCACAUCAUUGAUGAUUCACAUAACCAAACAUAACUUACUUGAACUCACAUGUGCCUCUACAGCACCACAUUUAUUUAUAUGCAACCAGGCAAUGCAUAUUCAAAUUAUAUAAGCAUUCGGCAUAUUAUUUCAAAACAUACGUUCCUAAAAUGUAUUUUCUAGGAAUUAUAUUGAGUAUAUACAUAUAUACUGAAAACAAAAGCCCACUCACUGGUAAGUCGACAGGUCGUAGCCCCCGAGUUGCCCCUGGAUACGCUCAUCCUCGGGAUACGUCUCACCUAUAUGCAAAUUAACUAUAAAAACGUUAUUUUAAAGCACAUACGCAAAAGUAGCUAAUAACUUCUCACACAUUGCUCAAUUUGGGUAUAUGAAUAUACCACAGUGAUCUACACAACUCCACGGACCUACCUAAAUUUUCAAAAUAAUUUUUUGACGCCGCAUGCAUUCCAGCGGACAAGAAACUAAAGACUAAACCGUAUGUAUUCCAGCUUACUUCGAAAUGCAUGGUCUUUGGAUAACAAUUCAUCCUCAAGGGGGAAAAGUUACCUCUCAAAUGAAUAGUUAGGGGUAAUUAUGGGACCAUGAUUUUCCAGGGACAGAGUAAGGUUGAUCUGAAUACAGUUGUAUCAAAAGUUCGAUCAUGGACUCACCAACUCCGGUCGGAGCUAUAUCAAACAAAGCGGUGGUGCCACCAGCACUUUGUUUGACACGACACGCGAUCGUAUGGAUAUAGAUACAAUCAAAUCUUAUAAGUCUUUGAGUUCCUACAAUUUAGGAAUAGGCGUGUGUCGUAAGUAAUCACAACUCCUAAAAGGGUGCAAUAUCUACUUCUUGAUAUCCUCAAGGAUUCUCCUGGUUUUAGGUCAAGGAUUUUAUCCUAAAAAGGUCUCUCUCCCCCAUGGUAUAAAUACAUCCAUCUAGGGUUCAUAUAUGGUAAUGCAAUCUAAGCACUUCAAUUUUCUUGCCCAUUGCGUCUUGCUUAUGGUUGUUUACUGUUUUGUAAGUUGCUCGAGUUUGUGCUCAACCACCACUUAUGGUGGUGCGUGAAUUGGGUUCCAAUAGCGGAAGUCAUGCACACUGAAUUUCUGGUUAAGGAGAACCUGAAGUCUUUAUGGGAAACCCUAUUGAGUUUCUGACUCAAGAACGAUUGGCACAAUGUCCGCUUUUAGGACUUUAAGCGUGUCGAUGAGUAUGUCUCUGAAGUCUUCCGAAUUCAGUCGAUUUUGAAGUUCUGUGGUCAGGAACUCACCAAUUCCGAGCUGCUAAAGAAGACUUAUUCCAACUUUAACGCCCCAAACAUUGUGCUCAAAUAGCAAUAUAGAAAACAGAACUAUCAAAGAUUCUCGGACCUCACAACCGUUCUCCUUGUAGCUGAGAAAACAAUAUUUUCAAAGGAAAACUAAUGAAAAGGGCUUCAAAUAUUUACAUUUUAAUCAAAAACCACCUACUAACUUUAUUUUAAUAAUAAGGACAAAAGACUAAAAAAAAAAAAAAACAUAACAAACCCAGCGUUGGGCGCGUACCCCCCACCCCCCAGUCCACUUUUUUUCUCCUACCUUUUGUCCCAUCAUUCAGAUAGUUUUUUUUUUUUUUUUUUUUUUGCAUAGAAUAAAAAAAAACCUUCGAAUUGAAUUACAUUCUCCUGUUUUAUUUUUGUCUCCUGUUUUAUUUUUGUGGUGUUGUUUUCUAAUAGUAAUCAUGAUAAUGAGAAACUUUUCAAUGUGCCUAGGACACAGGAUGGUACACUCCAUACAAGUUGUGAGAAUCUUGUGUUAAAAAAUUAAUAACAUAAAAAAUAAAAAUUUUCACCACACUUAUUUAAUAACAUGUGGUAUAUCAUUUGUGUUACGGGCACAAGGAAAAAUUUCUCGAAGAUGACACCUAAGCUCAAGAAAUUGGAUGGAAAGCUACAUUUAUUUUUGUAGGUAUAUGAAAAAGGUGAGGAAAUUUUAAUUUGGUAAUUGAAAACAGCUUUUUAAAUAUAAUUACUGAGAAUUAAACACUAUUUAUAAAACUUGACCAAUAAGGGUCUAAGUUUUAAACCUUAUGAAACUAAACCAAUAAUUAAACACUAUUUAUAAAACUUCACCAAUAAGUAGACACUAUUAAUGAAAUUAGACCAAUAAAUAGAUAUCAUUUAUGAAACUAGAUCAAUAAGUAUACACUAUUUAUGAAACGAAAACAAGAAUUAGGCAUAAUUUGAACACUGGACUAUACACUAUUUAUGAAACUGGAGUAAGAACUAGACAAUAUUUAUGAAUUAUGACAAAAAUAGGCACUAUUUAUGAAAGUUGACCAAUAACUAGACAUUAUUUAUGAAACCGGACCAAGAAAGAGACACUAUUAAUGAAAUGUUACGAAUUAGUAUACAUUAUUUAUGAAACUAGACCCAAUAACUAGGCAUUAUUUAUGAAACAUGAUCAAGAACUAGACAUUAUUUUAUGAAAGUGGACAAAAACUAGACACUAUUUAUGAAAUUGAACCAAUAAAUAGUAUAGUAUCGUUCAGUUUCAUAAAUAGUGCAGUUUCAUAAAUAAUGUUCUAUUUUAUAAACAGUGUUCAAUUUCAUAAACGGUGUACAUGUACUGCACGCACGUCAGUUUUUUUUUUUUUUUUUUUUAAAUUGUGUCCUGUUUCGUUAAAAAUUAAGUUUUUUGUCAUUUUUAUUAAAAUUUAAGGGUUUUUCAUUAAAAUUUAAUUCUUUUUCAUUAAAUAAAGUUUAUAGCAUGGUUUUUUUGUUAAAAUAAACAUAGUCCAAGCCAUUUUCAUUAAAGUUCCCUAUUAUCAAAUGGUAUUUUUUAAGAAUUGAACGGGACAAAGCUAAAUCACAAUGGUAGGGGUCUGAAUGCAACUAUUAUAACAUUUGCUUUAUAAGGUUUUCAACUACGGGCUCCUUAUGCUGCUAUGCGUGUUGCUAAAUAAUCCAUAUUGAUCAAUGAUAGGUGACGCAACCAUAUUGACGCAAUCAUAGUGACGCAAUCAUAUGGACGCAAUCCAUAUUGAUCAAUGAUAGGUGACGCAACCAUAUUGACGCAAUCAUAUUAACGCAAUCAUAGCUGCCCCAAUGCAUAUAUUACAUAUCUAUAUCGAAGGAGGGCAUUGUGUAGGUGAGCACACACCCUGACGUCCCAAAGAAUCAUUUUUGUACCAAAAGAGAUCAAUGGUUCUGCUGCAAAGGAGUAGCCUGCUCGGCCAAGUAGGAAAACAAAAGAGAUAAGAUAAUCUUCAAUUGAAGGGGGUAUAUUUAAUUUUCGUUCAGAUUAUAGUUCUGUAAGAAAUUAUUUGGUUGAAGAUUCUGAGGUUCGAUUCUCUCCAAAUGCGAGUUUGAACCACACUAUUACAAGCUCAUUAUGAGGCUAAGCCAAUCCCCUUCUCCUUAGUGUAGAUAAUAUCGUUUGUUCAAAAAAAAGUAUUAAAGAUUACAACAACUUACUGGAUCCAAGCCUUUCCUUUGGUUGAAGAUGCGGCCAUUUGAAAAUUAUUGAAAAAAUUAAAGGAAAGAUUAUUGGAAGAGAUAAGAGAAUAGAAUAUGAAGAAUUGAAAUAAAAUGAGGUAAGAUAGUAUGGAAGGGUGGAAAUAAUGUGAGGAAUGGUGGUGUAGAAAUGGUUUAGUAUUGUAGAACAGUGGAUGUCCACUCAUGAGAAUUAAAUAAUGGGCAAGUGGCCCUUCCAUUGUCUACCAAAACUUGCUUCAUACGAUUCCUAUUUUCUAUAUAUAUACAAAGCCCACACAACACCAAGGUAGUUAGAAGUUCACGGGAAAGAGGAAAGAAAAGAAAGAAAGAGGAAAAGAGAAAAGGAAGAAAGGAAGAGAGAGAGAGAGAGAGAGGAAAGAAGAGGAAGAGAGGAAGAUGAGGAAGAUGAGGGGAGAUAAUAAAGAGAGUUAUCUUUGUACUCCUAUUAUUUCAAAUUAUAAUGAAAGCACCACUGCUGCCCCGAGGACGUACUCUAGUCACACUGACUGUAGAGGAACCUCGUAAAUUUUGUGUCUUGUUUCAUUUAUUCCACUGCACCCACAGUCGAUCUUACAACACGUUAUCAGCACGAAAAGCUCUCAUGUCAGUGGAAAGCACAACACCAUAAAUCCGGUGAAGCAUUAUCUACCUCUCACCUCGGUUAGCUAAAAUCUCACAGAGUAGAGACGGCAAGCCAGACAUGUCAAACAGGGAAGAUCAUCUUGUCAAAAUUCCAUCAACCUUUCUUUUAUCACUUUUCUUUUAUCACUCUAACUAUUGAUGUGUUAAUCCUUAUCCCUGCUAGACCUGCAAUCUAUUUUUUCUCUCGUGGACAAGAAAGAUGGAGAGAUCUUACAGACAAACAAAGGUGCAGCAAAACAAGCAAAGGUAUGUCCAUUUUUCGUUUCUCCCACCGCGCCGGAAGCGCCCCACCGAAUUCCGGUGCGAAUUGAAAUUUCCAACGACCUGAAGUCGUCACGAGAUAAGAAAACUCGUACCUAACAACUGGUUUCCAGAGAUCCAGAAGAAUCUCAUUAGACUUGGAAACUCAGAUCGUGUCGUUCUCAAUGGAUCUCGAGGACCUCCAUGAAUCCUCAGUUGUCUGAGAUGGUGAUGGCAUGACUGACUCCACACAAGCCUCCCUCUCUUAUGCCUUCGUCAACCUCACUGUCAUCUAUGUCUAUAUGGAGAGGUUCUUGCUUUGCGAUGCCAUGUUCUUUGGGCCAUGCAAGAACAACGCCAGUCUCUGGUAGCCUUUUUUGGAUUGAAUUGGUUUUGUGUAACCCCCACAACAACCCAGCUGGUACUGGCUUUUGAGACUGGUAGAGAUAGACAAAGAAAAGGGGAAAUGAGGCCAAUGAUUUAGAAAGGUGCGUUGCACCAUGUAAAAUAAAAGAAAUAAAACCAAAAGUUUUUGGAAUGUUGUAGCAUGUGAAUGAAUAAGAAAAAUAAUAAUAAAGGUAAAGGUUUUUGGAUGGUGUUACACCAUCUGAAAAGAAAGAAGAAAAUAUGUAUAUAUUUAUUUAUGUGCAUGGUGUUGGUUUAAAGCCCAUGUCACAAGUUCUAUUUACUUUAAAGCAAUUUAUUUAUCAUGGACGGUUUUACCGCCUACUGCUUUAAGUUUUGAUUUAUGUGAAUGGUGCUGAAUUAAAGCCCUUGUCACAAGCUUUAAUUUAUUUAUUGUUCAAUUUAUUUACUAUGGCUGGAAUUACCGCCUAUUGCUUUAAUUUAUUUAUUGCACUUAUCUUUUGUUACGAUGAGUAUAACAAGGACCUAGAGUCCUUGAUUAGAUCAGAACCUGCAGUUUCUUGAUCCUCAUCACAUAAAAUGAUAGGACCCGAAGUUCCAUCAUGCAAAAAGAUCAAACAUGAAGUCCCUAGAUCCUCAAGAUCGGACAUGAAGUUUCUUGAUAAGUACCUUAAGUUUGAAGUGCCACAGUGCCUCAACUUAAUUAUAAUAAAUGUCAUAAAAGUCUCAGUCCAUAGACUAUUUAAUAAGGACCAGAAGUUCCUUAUGUCCAUACUUAAAAUGGUUUAGCAGAAGCAUUUAUUAAGCGGAUGAAAUUGAUUACCCGCGCUCUACUCAUGAAAACGAAAUUACCAGUUUUCUACAUGGGGACAUGUAAACUUUACAUGAUGCAUUAUUAAUUCGGUUGAGAUAUGUUAUCAACCAUCAAAACUUCUCAGUACAACUCGGGUUUGGGAACCAACCAAACAUUAUACAUUUACGAGUUUUUGGUUGUGUUGUCUAUGUGCCUGUAAGACUGCCACAACGUACUGAAAUGAGGCAUCAUUGCAUAUUAGGCAUUGAUGUUGAACAUCAUCUAUCAUUCAAUAUUUGGAACCCUUGACUGGGGAUAUGUCUACCGCAUGAUUUGCGGACUAUGAUUUUGAUAAGACAGUUUUCCCGCCAUUAGGGGAGAAAAUAACAUCGUUCCAGAAGAACGAUGAGAAAAUAUCCAAAAGAAUGAUGAGAAAAGACCGUUCUAGAAGAACGAAGAGAAUUUGUCUUAUUUUGAUUCACGAAGCAAUCAAUGAGAAAAUGAAAUAUGAAUAAUUGAAUGAUGCAACGAAAGUGAUGAAAUCAUAUAUACUUACUGCAAAUGUGCCUACAAGAAUUGAUGUCUCUGUUGGAUAAAAUAAUGAGACAGUAAAUGAUUUAUCUGUUGCACGCCUGAAGCGUGGCAGAUUUUUAGACUCAAAAGGUUCAGUUAUUCGAAAGAAGAAUAAUAUGGCACUACUGAACUAUUGCAUUCCCGAAGCAUAACUGUUGCAUGCCAGAAGCAUGACAGUCGCCGCAUGGAUACACGUCCCAGAUAGGACAAUCCACAGACAUGGGAAUUUUGAUGUCUCAUACAUAGAGCAUAAUAGACAUAUAGGUUCCAAUGACUCAACUCCCGGAAGUGGAGAUUAAAAUCCAAGCUCUAUAACGCUCAAGAGGAGGUUAUGAUCCACAUUCUCUAAAUUAUGACUAUCCUGAAAGAGAUAGCGUCAUGCCCUUGAAGAGGCAAUAGAUAUCCAAAGAAAUAAAAAGCUUUUAUGCAUGCGCAUGCAUAUGAGAAUAUGGGAUCACGGAUUGAUGAUAACCAAUGGUAAUUUUGGUUUUUACAAGUAGCUACUAAAAAUCAUCAAUGAGCUGUGUUGAUAUUGAGUCUCGUUCUUUUCAACGAAAAACAAAGAUGGAGAAAGGCAAUUCCAUUACAAUUUUGUAAGAACGUGGGAAAAUUGACCUAUAUAUUUGAAUGUAAUACAAAUAGCCAAAAGAUGUUGAACCAAGAAGGUUACAUUGGGUAUUUGUAAUACAGUGAAAUACACUCACAUGAUAUGACACAAGGUUGUAAACGAGUUUAUAUAAAUGGAGAAUUAUAUACGAAGGGUUGUGAGUCGCCCACAUUAUAUCUCCAUAAGUAAAUCCCUCAAGUAUACAUGGGAGCAAAUUGCUCUGUAUAAAUUCCAAAGGAAAAUGUGUCAUGAAGUGUAGAAAACCCUUGAAGGAUUCAAAUUGCUUGAAGUAAGCCUCUGAAGGGUAAAACAUAAAAUAUGUACUCAAUACCAAUGGAUGAUAUAAAUUGCCUUAGUGAGUACUAUCAUUAUGAUUUUGUUGCAACAUACUAAAAUCUCUUGCAAGAGUCAAUGACAUUAAAUUAUCACUCUUGAAGAGUUGAUGAUAUUAAAUUGGGACUCUUGAAGAGUCUAGAAAAAUUAUAAAGUGUUGAAGGAACUAUUGUCUCGAGCUGCAGAUCGAACAAUCUACCAACACAAAUCGUAUCCAUGAUAUUUAUGAUAUUAAAAGAACCAUAUGGAUUGAAGAUUAUGAGUUGAAUACUCAUAUGAUGAAGACACUAAGAAUAAUCAUUUAUCUUCGUGAGGGUAAAGAUAAAUUAAUAUUUGGUCCAGAAGUACCACAUCUUAGUAAAGUAUAUGCUUUAUUGUAUUUGGCACAAUACAUUGAAUGAAAUAAAGCUUAUUUAUUAAUAUCUCCAAGAAGUUACAGAUAUGUACAUACACAUGAGUUAAAACAAACAAACAGGAUGGAGCCUUCACAAAGGCUGCUCAUGUGAAGCCUCAGUACUCGGAAGUACCCCAGAAAGGGGAGGCACUAGAGAUUGAUCAUGUGGCACCCCAGUACUUAGCAAAACACCAGAAGGGGAAGGCAUCAGUUGCUUUCGGAAUCUAGCAACGAACCUCUGGUGAUCACUUUGAAUUCGACUUUCGGAUUUCUGCAGUUGGACGAGCUUUCUUUUCAUGCUCGUAGAGUAAUUAUUUGCAAGCACGUGUAACACCCUAUUAUCGUGCUUGAGCCCUCUGAUCUCUUGUUUAAGACUUGCCACCUCCGUCAUCAAUGAUUUAACUUGGUGAGUGUGAGCAAGUAGGCGUUGGCCCAUAUUGGACACAGAGCCAGCACACUGAACACUGAGAGCCAAGGAGUCUUGAACGGCCGACUCUUCAGACCGUUCUGAAAGGAUCUUGUUAUCCCUUGGAGUGAGAAGAUUCCUAGCUACCACAGUAGCGGUUAUGUUAUUCUUCAUCACAGAGUCCCCAACCGUAAGAGGACCAUUAGAAGAUAAGAAGGACGGGCGCCAUAUAUUAUCCUGACGCUGCUCGUCUGUAUCACUCCUAAGACUCAAAUCUAAACAAAUGUUAGAUGGGCAAGUCAUUUUUCAGAAAUGAUGAAGGAAAAACAGAGGUCAAAAUAAAAUUUCAAAGGUGCAAGAUAGGGGAAAUUUCUACAGGCAGCAACUUUCUGAGCAUACUCUUGAACACAAUUGAUGUCUCUAUAAAAGAAGAGGCAGCAGAGCCACUUGUUCAAAGAUCGAUGAGGCACCGCUUUCCGAAUUUCAAAAGCCAGAUUUUCCUGAAUAAAAUUCGUUGGCAUUUUUCAGACGUAAUCUCAGCUUUUCAGAUAUCGCGUGCAACUUUGUCAAAGAUCUCUAACAAAGUUGAAAACGCGUAAAUCUUGUUGUUCUAUUUACACCACAGUUGCUGACAAGAGUAAAAGCACAGCACCACCACUUGCUAUUGAGAAAUCUCUAUAUAUGUCGACCUCUGUUCUCCAUAACAAGGCAGACCCGCAACACUGCAAGAAUACCUAACUCUUCCUCAUCUCCGAGAAUGCAUCUUCAACAUAGCAUCUCGAAAUACUCAGUUUUCUUCCUCUCCGAGAAUACCUCUUCAAACAUGUCACACCAGAGCAAGAUUAUCACAUAUCUUCAGGGACCAGAGCAAGAUUAUCUCAUAUCAUGCAAUCUCCUUGUCCUUUCCUUUGUCCUUGUUCUUGCCUGCAAAGACAAGGAUAAAGAAAGCAAUAUGUCGGAACCUUCACUCAAACUCCCGGUAAGGAACCGACUGCCUGGAACCUUUCCUGAUUGCUUACCUAGUAUUGCUCUCGAGUAGUCAUCUUCAACGGUUGGAGCUGGGUCUCCAGUCACCAAGAAGUGAUGAAUCAUUCAAAUGCAAGGGUUUGCAUUCCUCUCCUGCAUCAGGGGAUAAAUCCUACAAGAGAAGAUGCCACACAUGUAGGGGAAAAACAGGGAAAAUACCACUUAAGCAAGGGGAGCAAGUAAGACAAGUGAAAAUGAUACAUUGAAGCAUGUGGAGACAAGCACAACAAACACGUGCUGAUUCAUCCCCGACAAAACCGAAGAUCACUUGCCACAUGAAGCUCUUAACGGUACAAUUUCAUUCAAGAUCAAGCCUCGAAGUCUUUGAAGAAAUCAUAAGUCCGAUUCAAGAUCAAGUGUCCACCACUUUCGAAUCAAAUUCCGCUCCAGAUAAAAGGAGUAAAUUCAGAUCUUCGAUGCUAGUCUAGCAGAAGGCCCUCCAGCCCAGUUCAAGAACAAGCCUGUGGAAAGUUAACAACAAGUAAAGCAACUCUUUCAGCAACUCUUCUUACUAAGAGACUAAAGCAGAAUGAUCAACGAUCAACCUAAAUGAUUUGAAAUCAGGGGAAGAUACUCAUCAGGGGGAGCAUCCAAAACAGAUCAAGAUUUUAACGAGUCAAUCGAAAACUUGUGGCCAUCCAAGGGGGAGUAUUGUAGAACAGUGGAUGUCCACUCAUGAGAAUUAAAUAAUGGGCAAGUGGCCCUUCCAUUGUCUACCAAAACUUGCUUCAUACGAUUCCUAUUUUCUAUAUAUAUACAAAGCCCACACAACACCAAGGUAGUUAGAAGUUCACAGGAAAGAGGAAAGAAAAGAAAGAAAGAGGAAAAGAGAAAAGGAAGAAAGGAAGAGAGAGAGAGAGAGGAAAGAAGAGGAAGAGAGGAAGAUGAGGAAGAUGAGGGGAGAUAAUAAAGAGAGUUAUCUUUGUACUCAUAUUAUUUCAAAUUAUAAUGAAAGCACCAUUGCUGCCCCGAGGACGUACUCCAGUCACACUGACUGUAGAGGAACCUCGUAAAUUUUGUGUCUUGUUUCAUUUAUUCCAUUGCACCCACAGUCGAUUUUACAACAUUUAGGUAUUUAUAGAAGAAAAAAAAUUAGAAUUAUUUUUUUUUAUUUCUACUUUAAAAAAUAAUAAUCCAACGACUACAUGACAUCAGCUGCUGCAGGUUGGGCCCCAUCAGCGGACUGGCUGACUGGCUGACUGGCUGCCUGGCCCAAUGGAUCUCCUUUUUCAUUUGGCCUGGACCUCAAUUGGAGAUAGUUUUUUUUUUCCUCAUUUUGGACUAUAAAAAAGCCCAUAGCCCUAUGGCCUAAUCUAUUGGAGAUGGCCUAACAUCCCCCACAUUGUUCUACUCUCUACUUUUUUUUUAAAUGGAAGUAAUUAUUUAAUUUAAUUUGUAGAUUAAGAGUGAGCUAAAAUGAUUCGCUCUUUACAAUCUAAAAAAAAUAAAAAAAUUUAAGCCCAACAUGAUUCACCAUUAAUCCUAUCAUCGAUAUUAUUUCUAACUUAAUUACUUGGUGUGGAGUUUUAUCACAAAAGUCUGAGUAACAUUUUUAUUAUAUUUCUAAGUUACAAUUACAUACAUUUUUAUAGAGGAACACUAAUGAAACGUACUUGAAAACUUUGAGUUUUAAUGAUAAAGGCAAAAUAAAGGGUAAAGUGAAUAAUAUCAUGUUUGACUUUUUAGUGUAAAAAUACGAUUUUUCGUUAAAAUAAACAGUACCGUGAACUUUUCGUUAAAACUCCAUUUUUAUAUAUGUCUCAUUAUCGUGUUGUUUUGCUUUUCACUUUUUGCUUCUAUACGUUUUGUAUAUGGAACUGUUUUAUAUGGACUUGGAGAAUUAUGGAGAGAGGUGGAAAAGACAUGGAAAAGAGGUAGGCCCAAUUGGCUUAAAGUUGUGACACCCAUAAAUACGUUAUCUUUUUUACUACCAAGAGAAGCAAAUUAAAGAUAUAGUUUGAAGAGCAUUACAUGAUAUAUUUGAUGAUCUGUUAUUAGAGAUUAGUGGAAUUUAUUUCAAAAUUCACAGUAUGAUCUACUUUAACAUUAUGUUUGGAUGAAGAAAUUUAAGAUUAUUAAGAAUUUUAAAAUGACGAUAAUUGAAAUGACAAGAUUUUAUUUUCUAGAAUUUGUAAAUUUUCUUGUUUGGUUAGCCUAAAAGAACAAUAGAAUUGAAUACAUAAUAUGUUAGUUUUAAACUCUCAAUUAUAGAAAUUAGGAAAUGAUAACUAUUUACAUGAAUUUAAACUUGAUAAUUUGAGGUCCCAAAUUCCAAUUUUUUUUCCACACGGAAACUCUAAAUUUCUAUGUUUAUGAAUCCAAAUAAGGGAAUUUGUGCAUGUCAAUUUAUAAAUUCUGACUUUAUUUUGGCAUUCGAAGAAUGAGAGGUGAAUGAAAUAUUAUUUUGGCACCCUGAUAGUUCUUCUUCUCAUUCAUUAGUUGUGACCCCUCAACCUCAAUUGUUGAUUAGGGACACCCAAUCUGAGAGUCUCGGAGAAGAGGAAGAGACCCCUUUUAGAAGAAAAAUGAGUGUUGCUGCUCUGGCGCCAUCAACUUUUAGUGUAUCCGCCCCUCUAUCCACAACAAAUAAGCCGCCCACUUGUCUCAUCUACCUUUACUUGUCUUGUUGCCCCAGUCAUCGGAAAAGGAACCUCACUUUCCUUUCUUGGUCCCUUUAUAAAGUUUUCCGCCCGUACCGAGCAAAGUUAUUGCGUCUUCUGUUGCCUCAACAUUAACUUCCGCUCAUCCGUUGUAAAUGCCUAUAGAUGGUUCAUCCUAUCAUGAUAGUCUUCCGUUGAUUACCCUAACAAGGUUCAAGGGAACAACUCGUUCUCCUCUUAUAAUCCAGUCUUCAGUUGAUCAAAUUGUAUUUCUUUUUUAUUAUGCUUGGGAGCUGCUUGGAACUGCAAUUGCUCCUGCCAAUUUCAAGAGAGCUUGCACUACUCUUGAAAAUGCCAUGAUGCGGUGCUACAUGAGUCAUUACGAGGUACUUGAAUUUCUUUCCUCCAUUUAUUUUUGUUGAUGUGUGUCAAUUUCCCUUAAUAGUCUUUGUAUAUUAGGCUAAUAUUUAGAGGGAGGUUGCCUUAUUCAGACAAGUAAGAUGGAUUCAUGAGCUCAAACGGAUCAGGGGCCAAGAAAAUGUGGUGAGGAUAGAGGCGAAACGCCGAUUUCAAUCCCAAUUGAAGGAACUUAAAAUGGUGCGUGCCAAGUAACAAGCUUCGACUGCCACUCAUCGAACUCCCAGGAAGGUUUUGAGAAGGUUAAAGAUGACCUAAGGCUAAAGAGGCAGGCCAAAGCAGAGGCAAACUCUACUCUUGUGCUUUGAAAUGACCUAAGGCUAAAGAGGCAGGCCAAAGCAGAGGCAAAUUGGGCGAAAGUGUCUUCUACAGUUUUCAUUCUUUCACUCAGCCGGGUGAGCCUCGCCUUUUCUUUGAUUUUAGGUUCCUCUUGAGGUCUUUUACCGACGUGCGUAUCUUCAGUACGUCAUCUUAGACCUGAUCGAUGAAAGAGGAUUCUUUUCCAUUUGAGUCCAUAGCUUGACCACAGAGCGAUCUUCUUGGCAUUGUUUUCAUGAGGUAGAGUGAUCUGGUUGAGAGGAUUAUUGGUUCUUUCUCAAUGAAAGCACUAUUGUUGAAACCAAAAUCGCGCACCACCGUGCGCAGUGGUUGAGUACAAACCAAGCAACUUACAAAACAAUAAACAAUCGUGAGCAAGCCUGGGACUAGGGGAUGUGCCGGCCAAAGGCUUUCCGACAGUUAAAUUAUUGAAUGAUUUUGGACUCAAGUGGUGGGCAAAAGAACUAAAGUGUAUAGAUUGUGUUACCAUAGAUAAACCCUGGUGUAUUUAUACCAUAGGGAGAAAAAUCUUUGUAGGAUAGAAUCCUCAUUCUAAGUUGAGAGAAUCCUAAAGGAUAUAUAUUACGUAGUAUUGCAUCCUAAUAGGAGUUGUAAUUACUUGUGGCGCACGCCUAUCCCUAGAUUUUAGGGAUUCCAAGACUUAUAGGAUUUGAUUUUGUCCAUAUCUGGAUCAGAUCGCGUGUCUUACAGAACAAGCACGGUCAUCUAGCGGAGUUUCUAGGACUUCGCCUAGUGCCCCGGAGUAGAGUGAUGGUGGCACCCUAUUUCGUCUAAACCCUUUAACCUUUCAAACCUUAAACCUUAACCGGCCCAAACCCUUUAUAGGGAAUAUUUCGUUAUGGAAUAUUCUUGGAAUAUUCUCUAGACCCUUUGUGUUGACUUUUACGAAAUUUACUCAGGACCCUAAUUAAGGUAAUUCGAUGUCCUGAACCCGAUUUUGAUGUCUGUUUUCUCAAAUUAAAUCGUUUGAGUGGAGUUUGACUAAUUUUACCCUUUGUGUGCUUAGGUGAAAUUAUUGUAGCGAAUCUGUCUUCGCUAGUGGCACGACUUUUCGAGGUGAAGUACUAUGAGUGUACCCCUUCUAAAUUGUAUGUUUUAUUAGUAGAAAUGCAUACGUGAAAAACAUGAUUUACUGAAUACAUUUUGUGAAACGUUUUAUGAGAAAUUGAUUAUCAUGCUAUACUUAGAAUAUUUUGGAAUACCAUAUUUUCUAUCCCAUCUUCUUUGUAGGAUGUCUGAUGGAUGACGAUAUACUAUUUAGAACAUGUUUUUAUACACUUCUUUAUAGUAUAGAAGACGGAUGACUUUAUACUAUAAAGAUGUUUUUGAGUUAUAUGUACCUAUGUUUGGAAAGCUUAUUUUCAGUGGUUUUGUGCGUAUCUAGUGGUCCCUAUUAUUGACCUUCGAGUUGGGUGCUGUAGGAGCCUACAGGCGAUGAUACUUAUAUUAACCUUCGGGUUGGGUGCUGUAGGAGCCUACGAGCGAUUGAUACUUAUAUUGACCUUCGGGUUGGGUGUUGUAGGAGCCUGCGGGCAAUUGAUAUUUGUGAAGGAAGUGUUAUGAAGGAAGUUCUAUAUGCCUUCGGGCCAUACUAAUACCACUAGUUAGCACAUUAUAUAUGAGAUCUGUUUUAUAUGAAUGUUUUAUGGCAUGCUAGGGUUUUCGGAAAACCUACUACGUACUAUGCUAUUAGUUUUCAUAAAACUUUGGGGGAUAGUAUGUUGUUGAUAACUAUUUCUAUAUAUAUAUAUAUAUAUAUAUAUAUAUAUAUAAACUCUAGCCCACUCAUGUUUGUUUUGCGCGCCCUCAAGACUUAGAAUCAAGGUGGACAAUCCCGGCGUCAAGGCCCUUCCGCAUCGACAUCUUUGAGUCCUCUCAGUGUAGGACCCAUUCCUUGUUCAUUCAAUUUUUAUAUUAAUUCUUUUAGUGUUCUUGUUAGUUGUGUGCUCUGAACAUAUUCAUUUAAUGCAUAUCCAUUAUAUUUAAAUUUAUAAGUCUUAUUUAUUCUCAGUUCUUAGCAUUUGCAUUCAAUAAAUGGCUUUCGUCACCCUCGAGUGUCGGUCAGCACAUGCCUAUCCUGGUGUUUGUGGAAUAUCGGGAUCGGGGUGUGUCACAUAGGGCCUAGCAAAAGGAUUCAAAAUGUGUUUUCUACCCACAUGUAAACGACCAAGUCCUUAACGAACUUUCGUUUAAGAUUCACUAAGGAUAAAUCAACAAUCCAAAUUGAGAAUGAAAUAUCUUCAUGGUUACACAUUGCACUUUUAAAAUCCUUUGACCUAAAAUAAGGGCAAGGUGAAAGAACAAACGGAAUCAACAAACAAGACAACUAAAACAUAUCAGACUGACAUUAAACUGUGGAGGCCUUUUCGGGUAUGAUUCGACACUUGCUCAUCCUUAAUUCGUUCAGUGCAUUACCGCAAGUCUAAGGCAAAAGGUUUUCUAUGGGUUUAAUAUUUAAUACUUGGUACAUGAGUGAGGUGGUACUCCGGAUAUUGCGAUGGGAAUCUUUAUAAACACUAAGUUUGGGAGGUGACAUUUUUUUGAAUCAAUGUCACCGAGCGAGGCUCUUGAGCUUUGUCAUAGGCCCACAAACUUAUCUGUGUUUCGCCUCAGUACUCAUUACUUCGAAGUUAGCUUACUUUGGAAAGAUUGAUGAAUUGAAGCCAAGGAUGAAAGGUUCCAAGUGUUUUACUCUAACAGUCUUAAUGAUUUGAGUAAAAUAAGAUUAGCAGUACUCAUUACUUCGAAGUUAGCUUACUUUGGAAAGAUUGAUAAAUUGAAGCCAAGGAUGAAAGGUUCCAAGUGUUUUACUCUAACAGUUUUAAUGAUUUGAGUAAAAUAAAAUUAGCAGUAUAUUCCAACUAAACGCAAACCGACUCUUUUUAGAUCAACGAAUCUCAUGGUUAAACAUCAGUCAAGAGUAUCAAGGGUAAUUUCUUGUUUUUUAAAGUACACAUAAUAAACACAAAGUUCCAUCAUUGCAGACUUUAUGGUAUAACAUUUGAGAUUGCACGUUUGAAUCUAAAGUGUCUCUAUUACAUCACAAGGAGUCAUACCAGCGGACAAGAAACUAAAGACUAAACCGUACGUAUUCCAGCUUACUUCGAAAUGUCUUUGGAUAACAAUUCAUCCUCAAGGGGAAAAAGUUACCUCUCAGAUGAAUGGUUAGGGGAAAUUAUGGGACCAUGAUUUUCCAGGGCCGGAGUAAGGUUGAUCUGAAUACAGUUGUAUCAAAAGUUCGAUCAUGGACUCACCAACUCCGGUCGGAGCUAUAUCAAACAAAGCGGUGGUGCCACCAUCACUUUGUUUGACACGACACACGAUUUGAUGGAUAUAGAUACAAUCAAAUCCUAUAAGUCUUUGAGUUCCUACAAUUUAGGAAUAGGCGUGUGCUGCAAGUAAUCACAACUCCUAAGAGGGUGCAAUAUCUACUUCUAGAUAUCCUCAAGGAUUCUCCUAGUUUAGGACAAGGAUUUUAUCCUAAAAAUGUCUCUCUCCACCACGGUAUAAAUACAUCCAUCUAAGGUUCAUAUAUGGUAAUGCAAUCUAAGCACUUCAAUUUUCUUGCCCAUUGCGUCUUGCUCAUGGUUGUUUACUGUUUUGCAAGUUGCUCGAGUUUGUGCUCAACCACCAUUUAUGGUGGUGUGUGAAUUGGGUUCCAACAGGGGAAGUCAUGCACACUGAAUUUCUGGUUAAGGAGAACCUGAAGUCUUUAUGGAAAACCCUACUGAGUUUCUGACUCAAGAACGAUUGGCACAAUGUCCGCUUUUAGGACUUUAAGCGUGUCGAUGAGUAUGUCUCUGAAGUCUUCCGAAUUUGGUCGAUUUUGAAGUUCUGUAGUCAGGAACUCACCGAUUCCGAGCUGCUAAAGAACACCUAUUCCAACUUUAACGCCUCAAACAUUGUGCUUAAACAGCAAUACAGAAAACAGAACUAUCAAAGAUUCUCGGACCUCACAACCGUUCUCCUUCUAGCUGAGAAAACAAUAUUUUCAAAUGAAAACUAAUGAAAAGGGAUUCAAAUAUUUACAUUUUAAUAAAAAACAACCCAUUAACUUUAUUUUAAUAAUAAGGACAAAAGACUCAAAAAAAAAAACAUAACAAACCCAGUGCUGGGCGCGUACCCCGCACCCCCCAGUCCACUUUUUUUCUCCUACCUUUUGUCCCAUCAUUCAGCUACACUAACAUUUUUUUUUUGGCAUAGAAUAAAAAAAAACUUCGAAUUGAAUUACAUUCUCCUGUUUUAUUUUUGUGGUGUUGUUUUCUAAUAGUAGUCAUGAUGAUGAAAAACUUUUCAAUGUGCCCAGAACACGGGAUGAUACACUUCAUACAAGUUGUAAGAAUCUUGUGUUAAAAAAUUAAUAACAUAAAAAAUAAAAUUUUCCACCACACUUGUAUAAUAACAUGUGGUAUAUCAUUUGUGUUACGGGCACAAGGAAAAAUUUCUCGAAGAUGACACUAAGCUCAAGAAAUUGGAUGGAAAGCUACAUUUAUUAUUGUAGGUAUAUGAAAAAAGUGAGGAAAUUUUAAUUUGGUAAUUGAAAACAGCUUUUUAAAUAUAAUUACUGAGAAUUAAACACUAUUUAUAAAACUUGACCAAUAAGGGUCUAAGUUUCAAACCUUAUAAAACUAAACCAAUAAUUAAACACUAUUUAUAAAACUUCACCAAUAAGUAGACACUAUUAAUGAAACUGGAUCAAUAAGUAAACAUUAUUUAUGAAACGAAAACAAGAAUUAGGCAUAAUUUGAACACUAGACUAUACACUAUUUAUGAAACUGGUAAGAACUAGACAAUAUUUAUGAAUUAUGACCAAAAAAAUAGGCACUAUUUAUGAAAGUUGACCAAUAACUAGACACUAUUUAUGAAACCGGACCAAGAAAGAGACACUAUUAAUGAAAUGUUACCAAUUACCAUACAUUAUUUAUUAAACUGGAUCCAAUAACUAAGCAUUAUUUAUGAAACAUGAUCAAGAAUUAGACAUCAUUUUAUGAAAGUGGACAAAAACUAGACACUAUUUAUGAAAUUGAACCAAUAAAUAGUAUAGUACCGUUUAGUUUCAUAAACAGUGCAGUUUCAUAAAUAAUAUUCAGUUUUAUAAACAGUGUUCAGUUUCAUAAACAGUGUACAUGUACUGCGCGCAAGGCAGGUUUUUUUUUUUUAAAUUGUGUCAUUUUUCGUUAAAAAUUAAGUUUUUUUGUCAUUUUUAUUAAAAUUUAAAGGGUUUUCAUUAAAAUUUAAUUCUUUUUCAUUAAAUAAAGUUUAUAGCAUGGUUUUUUGUUAAAAUAAACUUAGUCUAAGCCCUUUUUAUUAAAGUUCCCUAUUUUCAAAUGGUAUUUUUUAAGAAUUGAACGGGACAAAGCUAAAUCACAAUGGUAGGGGUCUGAAUGCAACUAUUAUAACAUUUGCUUUAUAAGGUUUUCAACUACGGGCUCCUUAUGCUGCUAUGCGUGUUGCUAAAUAAUCCAUAUUGAUCAAUGAUAGGUGACGCAACCAUAUUGACGCAAUCAUAGUGACGCAAUCAUAUGGACGCAAUCCAUAUUGAUCAAUGAUAGGUGACGCAACCAUAUUGACGCAAUCAUAGUGACGCAAUCAUAUGGACGCAAUCAUAGUGACGCAAUCAUAUGGACGCAAUCCAUAUUGAUCAAUGAUAGGUGACGCAACCAUAUUGACGCAAUAUUGAUCAAUGAUAGGUGACGCAACCAUAUUGACGCAAUCAUAUUAACGCAAUCAUAGCUGCCCCAAUGCAUAUAUUACAUAUCUAUAUCGAAAGAGGGCAUUGUGUGGGUGAGCACACACCCUGACGUCCCAAAGAAUCAUUUUUGUACCAAAAGAGAUCAAUGGUUCUGCUGCAAAGGAGUAGCCUGCUCGGCCAAGUAGGAAAACAAAAGAGAUAAGACCAUCUUCAAUUGAAGGAGGUAUAUUUAGUUUUCGUUCAGAUUAUAGUCCUGUAAGAAAUUAUUUUUUAAUGAAUAGUGUCAGAUCAUUUUAUAUAUCAUCUUUAACCGAAGGGGUCUAUUUUUUGCCCCCUCAAUAAUUUAUUAUUUUUAAGUUUGUUCUUUAACUUUAUUAGUUAAUUGAAUUAAACUACCAUAUUAAGUUUGUUCUUAAUAAUUUUUCAGAUAUGAUUUUUAAGUGACACAUGUCAAGAUGUAAUUGGUUAAUUUAACUUGCAUGUUAACAACUUAGACAUUAAUUCUAAGAUCACACUUUAAUUGGAAUACAACUUAACUGAAAUACAACAUCUUAAAAAUUAAAACUACAACAACUUAAAUAUCAAAGAUUAUGACAUUUUAAAUAUACUUUUGAACGUACAGUAGUAUAGGUAGAUUACAUAUAUACACACACACACACGUUCAAAAGUAUAUAGUACUGCUAAAAAUAUACAUACGUUUAAAAGUUAUAUAUAUAUAUAUAUAUAUAUAUAUAUAUAUAUAUAUAUAUUUGUUAGGGGUAAUGUCACAUCCUGGCCCGGGCCUAGUAACAAAAACGUGAGGGCGUGGUAGGGGCCCAAAGCGGACAAUAUCGUGCUACGGUGGAGUCGAGCCCGGGAUAUGGUGGGGGCCCGAGCCGUGAUGUGACAGGUAAUAAUAUGUGCAAUAAUUAUUUGUUCAUUAUAAUUAAGGUAAGUAAUAAUAAUAUUGAUUUGAUUUGAAUAUUGUGACACAAGUUGUAAAUAUUUUGUAAUAAUAGGUCAAUUACUUUUUUAUUUGGUAGUUUUUUUCAAAUUUAGAUUUUAUUUGGAUGUUUAGAAUUAGGUGGUUUUUAUUUAGAAAAUAAGAGUUGCAAUGGUCUAUAUCUAAAGAAUCCUUAAAACUUUAACAACUUAAAUAUUAAAGAUUACAAGUGGUAUUCCUCUUCACUUGUAAGUGAGAGGUCUGAGGUUCGAUUCUCUCCAAAUGCGAGUUUGAACCACACUAUUACAAGCUCAUUAUGAGGCUAAGCCCAUCAUCUUCCCUUUAGUAUAGAUAAUAUUGUUUGUUCAAAAAAAAAUAUUAAAGAUUACAACAACUUAUUGGGUCCAAGCCUUUCCUUCAGUUGAAGAUGCGGCCAUUUGAAAAUUAUUGAAAAAAUUAAAGGAAAGAUUAUCGGAAGAGAUAAGAGAAUAGAAUGUGAAGAAUUGAAAUAAAAUGAGGUAAAAUAGUAUGGAAUGGUGGAAAUAAUGUGAGGAAUGGUGGUGUAGAAAUGGUUUAGGUAUUUAUAGAAGAAAAAAAUUAGAAUUAUUUUUUUUAUUUAAAUUUCGUCCUUAAAAAAAAAAUCCAACGACUACAUGACAUCAGUUGCUGCAGGUUGGGCCCCAUCAGCGGAUUGGCUGGCUGGCUUCAAUUGCCCUCUGUUAUUAGAGAUUAGUGGAAUUUAUUUCAAAAUUCACAGUAUGAUCUACUUUAAUAUUAUGUUUGGAUGAAGAAAUUUAAAAUUAUUAAUGAUUUUAAAAUGACGAUAAUUGAAAUGACAAGAUUUUAUUUUCUAGAAUUUGUGAAUUUUCUUGUUUGGUUAACCUAAAAGAACAAUAGAAUUAAAUACAUAAUUUGUUAGUUUUAAACUCUCAAUUAUAGAAAUUAGGAAAUGACACAUAUUUACAUGGAAUUUAAACUUGAUAAUUGGAGAUUUCAAAUUCCAAGUUUUUUUUUUCCACGCGGAAACUCUAAAUUUCUAUGUUUAUGAAUUCAAGUAAGGGAAUUGGUGCAUGUCAAUUUAUAAAUUCUGACUUUAUCCGAAUUCUAAUUUUAUUUCUCUCAUCCAAACAUAGUGUAGAAAAUCCUCACUGUGAUCGUUGACUUAAAAAAAAAAUUAAGUUGGAAACUAUCUGGUUAUCAAAGUAAAUAUCAACCAAAUAAUUAUGAAUUUACCUUUUUUUUUAUGAAAAUUUUGUUAAAAGAAGAUGAAAAAUGGAAAAGUCCACAUAUACACAACAAUGCUAUUAUAAUAAUGCCACUCUAGAAAAUUAUUGGCGUAUAAUGACAUUUUUUUGGUGAAAUGAUGAAGAUUUAUUUGAUACUAAUUGAAAAUAUUGAUACAAACAUAAAAAACAAAAAAAAAAAAAAACAUUCGAACUAAAAUUUAAGAGUUCAUGAAUUCAAACAGGUUGCAAUAAAAUUUAAGAGUUCCUGAAAAUAACUCUUAAGAUGGUACAUUUUUUUGAACAACUAACGAUGGUACAUUCAAAUAUAAACCACAGACAUUUUGGGAACCAUGUACAUUCUAAUUGCUGGAAUAUAUUAUGCAAAAAAUAUGAAGUGACAGGAAGUCCAUAGAAAGUCCCAUUUUUAAGAGAAUUCUCUUAGUAUUUCUCAAGGAAAUAUUGAGCAACUAAGAUUGCAGCCAUGCGAGUUGGUUUGCUGUAUGCCAUGGCGCGUGCAGGCUUCAAAACUGAAUUCUCUCACAUGUUUUUGUAUGGUAGGGAUGCGAGUUGGUUUGCUGUAUUCCACGUUUUCUCUCUGUUUGGACGACUUUUAUUUUUUAUUUUUUAUUUUUUAAGAAAUAUAUAGAAGUUCGAUAACUCUAAACACUUACGAAUGGUGGACACAAAUACUUUCACUAAAAGAAAUAUAUAGAAGUAGCAAAUUAAGUAACUAGAUUUGUUGAAACAUAGCAUCAGUGAGAGGCUUGAGACAACUAAACGCCAAACAGAAUAAACAACGGUUGACAUUCGAAAAACCUACGACAAAUAUGAGGAAAACACCUAGUACUACAGUGCACUAAUCAGAAAAUGUGUGUGUAUACACACACACAUCCUUGUUACAUGAUAAUUUUUUCACGUCACUCAAUACUACUGGUGCAUGCUUGAUCAUCAACGAUGCUAGCACUGCCUCCGCAUGAUUCUGCCGCAGGAUCAAUGGCGCGGGUAAGGUACUUAAAACCAUGAGUUUUGUAAUAUAUAUUGAAGUAAAGAUUGCAGAGAAAUACAAGGAGGAAGGUGACGACGUAGAUAGACAAGGCAGCACAUUUGAACCACAAAGGAAAUAGUAUGGAAAUGGAUAUGAAGAAGGCUGUGACCCCAAAGAAGAGGCCAAAUUGAAGGAAAAUCGGGGCGAUUAUUAUUUCGGUGGGACAGUAGCUAAAGUGAAUAAACUUGCUUACCAAGAUACAAGUGAAGGCAAGUAAGACUGAGAAUCCAAGAAAGUAAAAGAUUACAGGGAGAUAGAGCUCUCCGGAGGGACCUUGGAAGGGAAGAAGUGCUAUUCCAAUCGUCGCUGUCAAGCAAAACAAUACGAUUAUUGUUGCCCAGUCUAAGUUGUUGUUGUCGUAAUUAUUGUUAGUCCUCCCGUCUGCAACUUCUUGCCUUGCCGCUUCUAGGUCACGAUCGGAAUCGCGAUCUCGAUCAAUGGGACCAAUUACCAGCAGUUUGAGCCGUUGGGUUGGCGUUACUGUAACUGCAAGGAGAAAACUCAGAAAAGGUGUGCAUGCAGAUAUAUAGACAGGCAAGAGUAUUGAAUGGAAGAGUAUUUGAAUGCUCAGGAAAUGGUGUGCAUGCAGAUAUAUAUACAGGCAAGGAGAGAAAUGUCGGAAGUCUGGGAACUUACCUAGUAAUUUAAAAAAGCAAACUUAUGCUUGCUUUCAUAAUUUUUUAUUUAUUUUAAGUUUAACAAUAUAUUUCUAUACUACACGAACGGGGAAUUUAGCUAAACCAUACAAUAAAUAAUUUAAAUUAGAAUUGAAAGUUUAAUUAAACUACACAAUGGGCAACCUAAUUUAGUAUCGAAUUCGUUAUCCACGAUAUUCAAACCUAAAACCUCUCACUUUUAAAUGAAAAAAAUAUCACCAAACUGUAAUACUGAAUAGCUUGGUGUCUUCUUUACAAUAUUAUAAUUGAACUAAUAAGGUCAACAAUAUAAUAUGUUUGCUACCAUAUUAUAAUUGACUAACUAGUUCAACAAUAUAAUAUGUUUGCUAUCGACCAAUUAGUAAUAUAAUAUGUUUGCUAUCAUAUUAUAAUUGAACUAAUACGGUCACUCAUAUUUUUAGAAUAGUUUUUGGUUGAUUGUCUAUAAAAUUAAAAGAAACUUCGGAUACGAUAGAAUUAAUUGUCUAUAAAAUUGAUUUUGGAAUGUAAGCCACUAACUACGGUCACUGUCAAAGACGAUGAUAUUCAAGGGUGAUGUCAAUAUAGGACAAGAAACUUCAGAUAACAAAGUAUCAGCACUAUACUUCUUAAGUUCUUUUCUUCCCAUGGGUGUAGGAACUUACCUGGUAAUUAAUAUAAGCAAACCCAAUAAUUAAUUAAUUAUUUCUAACACCAUUUUCAAAGACAUAUUUUCAGUUAUUUGGGUUUUAAGAGAUAUUAUGUAGCAUCCCUCAAAAUUGAAAUAUUUUCAAAGA